rnacentral:misc_RNA from 1 species
CAGGCCUCCCUCUGCUUGGUUCCAGUCGUGUGCAUGAGUGAGGGGCGAUGCUUGAUGGCUUUGAUGCCAUCGGUGGGAAUGUGUUUAAGCAUCGGCCUUCCCUCAUGCACACGAUGGUCUACAGUCUUGGGUAUGAGUCAGUGAUGAUGCUUGUUUGUUUUGAUGCUUGCGUUGGAACUUGCUUGAGCAACCGACCUGACGAAGUACCCAUGAAUGUUCACCUAGUAGGGACGUGUCCCUGCGACCAACGACAUUUUUUGUCGGGAUCGUGGCAAGUCUGCGAUCCAGGGGGUGAUGUUGAGAGCCGGAAGGCAAGGGGGUGCAAACACCAGUCGGCCUUUGUCCCGAUUGCUGAGUGUUAUGUGCUUGACGUCCAAGGCUUGAUGCUGAUCCUCCAAGUGGGGCUUGUCCCUGCACCAAUGGCUACUGCCAGGAUUAUAGCGUUUGCUAUGAUCGAAAAUCUGAGGGGGUGAUGUUGAGAGCUGGAAGGCAAGUGGGUGCAAACACCAGUCGGCCUUUGUCCCGAUUGCUGAGUGUUAUGUGCUUGACGUCCAAGGCUUGAUGCUGAUCCUCCAAGUGGGGCUCUUUUGUUCCUGCGGUAACGACUUUGUUGGGAUCAUUGUGAUCAAGUUUGGUUGGUUUCGUAUUGUGGUGGGUUUUUUCGAAGCUUCUAUCGUUGUUUUACGCAUCGUGCGGUGCAUCUUGGGGGCUGUUUUGGCUUUUGGUUGCUUGCUUGGGCUUUAUGCUAGGCGGGUGGCUAAU